UGGGGAAUAUUGGACAAUGGGCGAAAGCCUGAUCCAGCAAUGCCGCGUGAGUGAUGAAGGCCUUAGGGUUGUAAAGCUCUUUUACCCGGGAUGAAGUUCAGGGCUAAUACCCCUGGAUCUUGACCUAACCCACAGAAAAAGCACCGGCUAACUCU
rnacentral:rRNA from 1 species